rnacentral:piRNA from 1 species
UCCUUGGAUUGUGUCCUUUGGUUCUUCUAA